rnacentral:lncRNA from 1 species
AGUAUUCAUUAAGUGGGAGCCCCGGUGUGUCGGGCUUGCGUAUGAGCGUGAAGACAGACGUGGGAUGGCUGAGCUCACACGCCUUAGGCUCUGAUUCUAGCCGUGGUCGCGCCGAGGGCUCCGGGUUACUUGCGGUUUCACUGCCAAUAAAGUGCUUUGAGCGAGCCUAACAAGCAAUGAAUAUGUAAACAUUUUGUUUCUAGGACUAACUAGGUAAUGAAGAGAUCUUCCAAGUGACAGAAACGCUGCUAGGUAACUUCCUGGGCCGUAGCUCCCCACCCUAACAGGUUCUGAAAAUAGCUCCAGGCCCUUCCUAACCGGAGUU